rnacentral:miRNA from 1 species
AGAAGGAAAUUGAAUUCAUUUA